UAGAAACUAAAAUAAAGAUUGUAGA
rnacentral:piRNA from 1 species